rnacentral:rRNA from 1 species
CGUCAGCUCGUGUCGUGAGAUGUCGGGUUAAGUCCCUUAACGAGCGAAACCUUUGCCCUUAGUUACCAUCGGGUCAUGCCGGGGACUCUAAGGGGACUGCCGGUGUCAAACCGGAGGAAGGUGGAGAUGACGUCAAGUCCUCAUGGCCUUUAUGCCCAGGGCCACACACGUGCUACAAUGGCGUCGACAAAGCGACCCGAGAGCGCAAGCUGGAGGAAAUCGCAGAAAUGACGCCCCAGUUCAGAUUGGAGGCUGCAACCCGCCUCCAUGAAGUUGGAAUCGCUAGUAAUCGCGGGUCAGCUAUACCGCGGUGAAUACGUUCCUGGGCCUUGUACACACCGCCCGUCAAGCCAUGGAAGCUGGGUGUACCUAAAGUCGGUAACCGCAAGGAGCCGCCUAGGGUAAAACUAGUGACUGGGGCUAAGUCGUAACAAGGUAGCCGU